rnacentral:lncRNA from 1 species
GUCCGGUGGGUAGAGUUGGGCAUCGAUCGGAUCGAUCCGAGGGUAAGUCGGCGUACAGGGGUCAGUCGGCAUAUCUCAACAGUUGCCCCCGCACUCCUGAGUCGGAUGUCGUGUUGGCCCGCGUUUCCACGUGGGCGACGGCUUCGGACGAAAGGAGUGAUUUUCCAUCACGUCAUGCUCUGACUCUGGCGAUCGUACCAACAAACGAUCCAAUGUCAGGCAUCUCCUUGGGAACGCAAACCGCCAUUUCAUUGGGAAUGCAAACC